rnacentral:lncRNA from 1 species
GUAGUAACGGCGCCAACAUAAAUUUAGUCAUGGAUAACUUCAAAUAUUUACGAUGGUCCCCUGAGACACCACCUGAAAUGAAGUCUCAGGAUCCUGUGUUUCCUGCACAGUCCACAAAGCACGAUGUUGAGUCACCUGCUCUCAGAGUCCAUGACAGCUCUGUCCUCUUCAAUAAUGGUGCAUGGUGACCCUCAAUAUGAGAUACAAGCAUCUGUUAUCUGGAGACUGGCUGCUCUCAGUGAAAAAAGAAGGAGUACUGCUAAUAGGCUUUCACCUCACAGCCUGAAUGCCAGGCCACCACACAAGAACUGAAGAGGCCAGGCUCCUCCCCAUUCUCCCAGUGUGCAGGUGGGCCCCUCAUCCAUUGCAGGCAUGUGCAGAAAAGACCCUGGGCAGGUUCCCUCAUCUGCACAAAAGCAUCUGAUGUAAACACUUGUGGGGUGAGUCGGAGAUUCUCUGGGGACCCUCCCUCAUCUGACUCCUGCAUCUAUCACUACCAUUACCUCAAAAACAAUAAAAAAGUUAAAUUGGCAUUUUUUUUUAACCUAAAGGCUAGUGUAUCUGGCAACAUACAAGAUACAUACCUCUCAUAGAAGAUUAAAAGCUUUUUCGUACCAGG